GAGAAUUGAGGACAGGGUCAUGGAUGCCCACGGCUCACUGGUGCUGAGGUUGACGUACUGUAGAGCUUUUACAGAUCUUUACGACCUGAGUACAUCAACUCGGAACUUGGGAGGCACAUGGCCCAGUGAAGAAGACAAUCCAAAGCAUUGUGGGCUCACACUAGAAACGUCCAGAUGCAGAGGGACGACAUCAGCAGUAUGGCCUUCUCUUCGAACUUCCCACCAGUAAUUCAGAGAUGGCCAUUAUUUCAACAUGUGCUCCCCCGCAUGUCGUACUCCUGUUCCAGGUUCAGUGUCUCUGAGGCAGUCAGAUGCUGCAGCUCAGGAUGCUUCAUCCAUUCAUGAUACCUGCAGAGUGUAAACAGGUGGAUAAGAGACAGCGACUCCAGGUUUCUACAGCUUUAACUUAAUCAUGUAUCCAGAUGCCAAAGGACCAGAGCUGGUUCUGCUGUGCCAGUUAAAGAGACUUCAAACUGUCAAAGGAUCAGAAGCUUGUAUUGACAGCUGGGUCAGAUGUGUCAUCUGUCCUAAGUUAUAGAUAAAAAGCUUUCACAUGCUCCAUGACAAAUGAGACUGUAUGAUACGACGGAAAGCUCCAGAAAAGCUACUAAAUGGAACUUGUGAUGAGAUUUUCUCAACAUUAUUAUUUAGAAGUCAAAAUAAAACCCAUCCACCUUGAUAGUAAAGAAAUAACUUUCAAACACUCAUCACUAAAGAUAUCAGCAGAGGAAAAUAAAAUAAAAAAGUGACAGGCUUCAUGUGUGUAACAAGACUGAUCAGGUGUAAAUGUUACCUGGGCACAUGGUUUACAUUGUAAGGAACCAGACACAAACACCAAUAGGACCGAUUAUAACAAUAACCUAAAUUCAACCCUUGUACGUCCCAUCAAUAUAUUAUAACAGCUGGAUACCGAAUGACAAGAUGGAAAUCAUUCUUCCCACUGAUGUAUUAAGGGGAAAAGGCAGGAUUUUUCAAUGUUUGUACUGCGAGAACAUUUUUUCAUAACGUUAAUAUAAUUUCCCCAGUGAAUGUUUUUCACCUGGCGCACACGGCAAAUUUGUUUUUCUUCCAACGUUGCUUCCACGUUCUGGGGUCCACUGUACAUGCGCAUCAAUAGGCUAGAAUAUAUUGGUUGCUAUUCAAGAAGACAUUCGUUUCAUAGUCACAUGAGACUGCUGUACCAAAGCCAGUGAUGUUAACC